UACGUAGGGUGCAAGCGUUGUCCGGAAUUACUGGGCGUAAAGAGCUUGUAGGCGGUUUGUCGCGUCGUUUGUGAAAACUUGGGGCUCAACCCCAAGCUUGCAGGCGAUACGGGCAGACUAGAGUACUUCAGGGGAGACUGGAAUUCCCGGUGUAGCGGUGAAAUGCGCAGAUAUCGGGAAGAACACCGGUGGCGAAGGCGGGUCUCUGGGCCGAUACUGACGCUGAGGAGCGAAAGCGUGGGGAGCGAACAGG
rnacentral:rRNA from 1 species